AGUGAACGCUGGCGGUAGGCCUAACACAUGCAAGUCAAACGGCAGCACAGGAGAGCUUGCUCUCUGGGUGGCGAGUGGCGGACGGGUGAGGAAUACAUCGGAAUCUACUCUGUCGUGGGGGAUAACGUAGGGAAACUUACGCUAAUACCGCAUACGACCUACGGGUGAAAGCAGGGGACCUUCGGGCCUUGCGCGAUUGAAUGAGCCGAUGUCGGAUUAGCUAGUUGGCGGGGUAAAGGCCCACCAAGGCGACGAUCCGUAGCUGGUCUGAGAGAAUGAUCAGCCACACUGGAACUGAGACACGGUCCAGACUCCUACGGGAGGCAGCAGUGGGGAAUAUUGGACAAUGGGCGCAAGCCUGAUCCAGCCAUACCGCGUGGGUGAAGAAGGCCUUCGGGUUGUAAAGCCCUUUUGUUGGGAAAGAAAUCCAGCUGGCUAAUACCCGGUUGGGAUGACGGUACCCAAAGAAUAAGCACCGGCUAACUUCGUGCCAGCCGCCGCGGUAA
rnacentral:rRNA from 1 species